GGCCUGGUUAGCUCAGUUGGUUGGGGCGCCAGACUACAGAUGCGGGAGGUCGUGGGUUCAAAUCCCGGCCGGACCA
rnacentral:tRNA from 1 species